AUAUUUACCUGGCGUAGAGAUACCUUGAUGAUGCAGGCGGUUCCCCCAGGGUGAGGCUGCUCCAUUGCACUGCGGAGUGGAUGGUGGUUCACCCUUGCGAUUAUUCUUAUUUUUUAAAAGUUUCACUUCUGCCGUGUGUGACUUGCACACA
rnacentral:snRNA from 9 species